rnacentral:tRNA from 1 species
AUUUGGAUAGUUUAUUAAAGAAUAACAAUUUGUGGUGUUGUUGGUGUAUUAUUACUUCAAAUU